rnacentral:rRNA from 1 species
GAUUAACGCUGGCGGCGUGCAUAACACAUGCAAGUCGAACGAUGAAACUUAAAUGAUUUCUUCGGAAUGAACUUAAGUGGAUUAGUGGCGGACGGGUGAGUAACGCGUGAGUAACCUGCCUUACACAAGGGGAUAGCCGUUGGAAACGACGAAUAAUACCCUAUGAAACUAUCACUUCGCAUGAAGCGGUAGUCAAAGUGUUAGCGGUGUAAGAUGGACUUGCGUCUGAUUAGCUAGUUGGUGAGAAAAAAGCCCACCAAGGCAACGAUCAGUAGCCGGCUUGAGAGAGUGUACGGCCACAUUGGGACUGAGACACGGCCCAGACUCCUACGGGAGGCAGCAGUGGGGAAUUUUGCACAAUGGGGGAAACCCUGAUGCAGCGACGCCGCGUGAUUUAGAAGGCCUUCGGGUUGUAAAAAUCUUUUGUAUAGGAAGAAAAUGACAGUACUAUACGAAUAAGGUCCGGCUAAUUACGUG